rnacentral:rRNA from 1 species
GACGAACGCUGGCGGCGUGCUUAACACAUGCAAGUCGAACGGAGAGGCCCUGCUUUUGUGGGGUGCUCGAAUUGCGAACGGGUGAGUAACCCGUGAGUAACCUGCCCUUGACUUUGGGAUAACUUCAGGAAACUGGGGCUAAUACCGGAUAGGAGCUCCUGCUGCAUGGUGGGGGUUGGAAAGUUUGGGCGGUUGGGGUGGGAACGGCGCUUGUCAGCUUGUUGGGGGGGGUGGGGUUUAACAAGGCUUUGCCAGGUAGGCGGGCUGAGAGGGUGACCGGCCACAUUAGGAUGGAGAUACGGCCCGGCCCCGUACGGGAGGGAGCAGUGGGGAAGAUUGCACAAUGGGCGGAAGCCUGAUGCAGCAACGCCGCGUGCGGGAUGACGGCAUUCGGUUUGUAAACCGCUUUCGUCUGUGCCGAAGCGUGAGUGACGGUAAUGGGUAAAGAAGCACCGGCUAACUACGUG